rnacentral:rRNA from 1 species
GACGAACGCUGGCGGCGUGCUUAACACAUGCAAGUCGAGCGGUAAGGCCCUUUCGGGGGUACACGAGCGGCGAACGGGUGAGUAACACGUGGGUGACCUGCCCUCAGCUCUGGGAUAAGCCUGGGAAACCGGGUCUAAUACCGGACAUGACUCCAUGACGCAUGUUGUGGGGUGGAAAGCCUUGUGCGGCUGAGGAUGGGCCCGCGGCCUAUCAGCUUGUUGGUGGGGUGANGGCCUACCAAGGCGACGACGGGUAGCCGGCCUGAGAGGGCGACCGGCCACACUGGGACUGAGACACGGCCCAGACUCCUACGGGAGGCAGCAGUGGGGAAUCUUGCGCAAUGGGCGAAAGCCUGACGCAGCGACGCCGCGUGAGGGAUGACGGCCUCGGUUGUAA